AUGUGUCUAUCGAUUAGAUACAUGUGAAAUUAAUUAUAAGCUUGAAUACAACAAUUUAAGAUAUAAUAAUAAAACAAAACCCAUAUAAAUUUAUAGAAAUUAGUGUCAUAUUGCAUUUUAUAUUAUAUUUGAAUGAUAUAUUUAUAUAUAUAAUAUAUAAUAAAUAUAUAAAAUUAUAUAUUUCAUGCAUGUCCCCUACGUAUCGUGUCCUGUAUUUUUUGAAAAUUAACGUGUCAGUGUGUCCGUGUCGUAUCCGUGUCGUGUCCAUGUCCAUGCUUCUCAGAUGUUAAUUAUACACACAUAAGUCUUAUUAUUUGCUUGGGAAUGAAGUCUCUGAGUUCUUCUACAUCAGUGCCUAGGGCAUUGUAGCAUAGUGGUAUAGGUGUGACAAAGGAGAAGUGAAUUUAGGGGUUCAAUUCAUGGUGUUUGAGCUAUUACCCAAUGCUAGUCUUGCCAAUGCAGGGCGUUGGAGAAGUAGAUUUGGAACUAACCUAACCUUCUGAAUUAUAUGCAGAAGCUUGUGCAGGGUAAGGAAAUGAUACAUUAUUUACUUAUCAUGAUGCAAAGCUAACACAUAAAUGAAGGGACUAAAAGAGACUGCUCAGGCACCUGAUUUGUUGUAGCAGUUAUGAUGCUGAUUGGAAGGGUGAAAAUGAAGGCGAUGAUGCAAGCAAAUAUGAGUCCCCACCAUGGCAUCUGAACCUGAUUGUUCAAGAAGAUGCAAAGUACAAAAGAGGCUGCAACUGUCACUCCAAGCAACACGUAAAACCACCAGGAAGUGAACAAGUGUGAGGAGAAGAUGGGAAAUCUUUUAGCACCGUACAAGUCUAGGCCCCAAUAGGAUAUGGGGAUUGCAAUGUAGACGAUCAAGGUGUACCCGAGGAAGACAUUGACAAUGGAAAAGAAAGGGGAUAUGA